CGCAUGCGCCGCGAGGGGGCGGGACCGCGGCCUUACGCGAGGGCGACGGCGGAAGCGGGCGGUGCGGGAGGGCGGACUGCCGCUAUGGCGGCCGCAGCGGAGGGGCUGAGCGAGGCCGGAGCGCAGCCUGCCAAGCAGGAUCCUGCUGUUGAAACAGCAGAGGAAGCUAAGGAACCUGCAGAAGCAGACAUCAAUGAGCUCUGUAAGGAUAUGUUCAGCAAAAUGGCCACGUACUUAACAGGUGAACUGACAGCCACCAGUGAAGACUACAAGCUUUUGGAAAACAUGAACAAAUUGACUAGCUUGAAGUACCUAGAAAUGAAAGAUAUUGCCAUAAACAUCAGUAGAAAUCUGAAGGAUUUAAAUCAAAAAUAUGCUGCUCUUCAGCCGUAUCUGGAACAGAUCAACCUAAUUGAGGAGCAGGUUGCAGCUCUGGAACAGGCAGCCUAUAAAUUGGAUGCAUAUUCCAAAAAACUUGAAGCCAAGUACAAAAAACUGGAGAAACGAUGAAACUGCAACAGUCUUCGCGUUGGAGUUGGGCUGUGGGUCAGACUGGUCUCUGAGUUGCUCAACAUCAGUUUUAUAUGUUGACAAGGAUUUGGUAACAGCUAACAUAAGACUGAUAACCUGUCAAUCAAGUAGUGAAUACAGAAUGGAACGUGGCACAGACAGGCUCCAUACUGUGAUGGCAGCGUGCUGGCAAUUGUAUGCAAGUCUUCUCCCUUAUCAGAUGUGUACCAUGUUCUCAGACCCUGUGGAGACAAACCAAGUCGAGUACUGAACUGAAUACAGAUUUGCAAGAUGGCCACAAGAGGGUGAUGUUUCAGCAGAGAAAACUUCCAUAAGGUCAUAAGGUAAAGCAGUUAAGAGAAAGUAAGGACCAGUAUUGUGUUAGAACUAUUGCUUGUAGACUUGACGACUUGAUGAGACCGACAAAGUAUUUCAUUGAAGUGAUUUGUACAACUGCUUUGAAGCUGAAAGCAGUUUUUGACAAGUUGAACUGUAACUGCAAACCAGGGGAUAAAACUUAACCUAGCAAAUACAGCAAAUAUUGCUCUUUAAGCAGAAACAGAAGAGGUCAGAUCCAGAAGAGGAUUUUUUCCCCAGUACCCUUGAGGCAAUUCUGCCCUGCUGCUCUAACAGGUUCUUCAGAAUUUGGGUUCAACUGUCAGAGUAAUACUUUGUGUAGAUGUCCAAAAAAUUCAGGAUGGGGUCUUUAAUCAUUAGUGGAAACUAUGUGUUCUACAGCUGAAAAAUAGCUCUUGUGUGUUAGAUUAUGCUUUUUAACCUGGAACUCUGUGAUCUAUGGAGAUGUUAAAUGCUAUCCAACUGGACAGAAGUUAUCCAGUAUUGGCUUGUAGCUAAAUAUAUAAUGUGUGCAGUGUUGCACCUGAGGGCAAGCAUCCAA